rnacentral:rRNA from 1 species
UACGUAGGGUGCGAGCGUUGUCCGGAAUUACUGGGCGUAAAGAGCUUGUAGGUGGUUUGUCGCGUUGUUCGUGAAAUCUCACGGCUUAACUGUGAGCGUGCGGGCGAUACGGGCAGACUGGAGUACUGCAGGGGAGACUGGAAUUCCUGGUGUAGCGGUGGAAUGCGCAGAUAUCAGGAGGAACACCGGUGGCGAAGGCGGGUCUCUGGGCAGUAACUGACGCUGAGAAGCGAAAGCGUGGGGAGCGAACAGG